UUAUCUCUGUAGAGUCUGCAUAUCAAUAAGCGGAGGAAAAGAAACUAACAAGGAUUCCCCUAGUAACGGCGAGUGAAGCGGGAAGAGCUCAAAUCUUGAAAUCCUUCAAGGUUUGACCUUGACGAAUUGUAGUUUAAAGAAGUGUUUUCGGUUAGAGGAGUAGUAAAAGUUCUUUGGAAUAGGACAUCAUAGAGGGUGAGAAUCCCGUAUUUGACUAUUCUUUCUAGCUUUGUGAUACACUUUCAAAGAGUCGGAUUGUUUGGGAAUGCAGUCCAAAAUGGGUGGUAAAUUUCAUCUAAAGCUAAAUAUUGGCGAGAGACCGAUAGCGAACAAGUACCGUGAGGGAAAGAUGAAAAGAACUUUGAAAAGAGAGUUAAACAGUACGUGAAAUUGUCAAAAGGGAAGCGUUUGACACCAGUGUUGUUUUUCCGAAAAUCAAUUAAAAAUUGAUUCAUGCCAGGUUGUAUUGACCUUAUCAGCUUGCAAUUUGGUUUUGGGUCUCUUUUUGAUGCACUUUUCGGUUAACAAGUCAACAUCAAUUUCCUUUGCUGUAAAAAGGUAAGAGGAAGGUGGCUUCAAUUUCGGUUGAAGUGUUUAUAGCCUUUUAUCUCUGCAGUCGGGGAGAUUGAGGUCUGCAGCGUAGAUCCUUCGGGGCUAGAUACAUUUAUGCUAAGUUAUAGCUUUUCAUAGACAACUUGUUGACUAUGUUUAGUCAUGUAGCUUACUCGUAAGUGCUAUUUUACCUACGCUUAGGAUGUUGAGCGCAUGUCUCUCUCU
rnacentral:rRNA from 1 species